AACGCACCUUGCGCUCUAUGGCAAUCCGUAGAGCAUGCCUGUUUGAGUGCCAUGAAAUCUCCCACCCCAAGCGGUUUUUAAAUGAAACGGCUUGGCGGCUGGGGUCUGGAUGGGUGCCUCCGCCUGCGCCACCUAGCACAGGCCCGCCCGCAAUGCAUGAGCGCCUUGCGACACCUUGCAUCCGCCUCUCUGUUUGGGAGGAGGCGGCCAAGCGGUGUUUUUCUCCUGGCAUGGCAUGAUACGUCAUUUGCUAUGUCGCCUAAAGGAGGAAUGUUUGGUUGUGUCUGCGUGUGCUUCGGACUUGCCUCUGUGGCACAUCCCAAUUUCGCUGCUGGUCUCAAAUCAGGUAGGAUCACCCGCUGAACUUAA
rnacentral:misc_RNA from 1 species